GGGGUUGACUGGUUUCGACAGCAAGAUCAAUGGGUAAGUAAGCAUGCAGAGAACCGUAGCGCGAUCUCUUUAAUCCCUUGCUACAAAAUUUUAACUGGCGACCAAGAGUUUGCUCUUGCUGCUUAAUCCGAAUCAUAGUAAGAUUUAGCGUUCUCCCGAAGACAGUACGGAGGCAAGAUAUCCCACAGAAGUUCUGUUUCGCGACGUCUGAUUUUGGGGUAUAGCAAUGCGGAAAUAAGGUUUUGGAGGCUUCGGCCAGAACUCGAAAAAAUUAGAAGCUAAGGUAAAAGUUGGGUGUCUGCUCUCUGCUUUUACACGAAAACCAAUAGCAGAAUAAGCAUGUAGAAAUCUUAUGUGUUGCUUGUUUGGACGAGGGUUCGAAUCCCUCCAACUCCACUC
rfam:Chryseobacterium solincola strain DSM 22468 contig01, whole genome shotgun sequence.